rnacentral:tRNA from 3 species
GCGGUCGUGGCGGAACUGGUAGACGCGCAGCGUUGAGGUCGCUGUCCUAGCAAUAGGGUGGAAGUUCGAGUCUUCUCGACCGCACCA